UACAGAGGUCCCAAGCGUUGUUCGGAUUCACUGGGCGUAAAGGGCGCGUAGGCGGUCGGGCAAGUCUGAUGUGAAAUCUCACAGCUUAACUGUGAAACUGCAUUGGAUACUAUCCGGCUCGAGGAAUGGAGGGGAGACUGGAAUACUUGGUGUAGCAGUGAAAUGCGUAGAUAUCAAGUGGAACACCAGUGGCGCAGGCGAGUCUCUGGACAUUUCCUGACGCUGAGGCACGAAAGCCAGGGGAGCAAACGGG
rnacentral:rRNA from 1 species